CCAACUCAUCUGGGGAUUUGUGACAGCCUGACAUUACCUCAUACUUCCCACGUGACUAGAAGACAGCAAGAGAAACGUUUAAAAUGGUUACUUCCAUGAGGCCGUGUGCUGCACAGUUUAUGGCCAAGCCUAGGUCAGAACCGAGAGGCAAUGCCAGGUUAGCACACGCCUCUGUGACCAGAUCAAGGGCCUGUUCGGGAUGUUCAAACCCCACCUGUAACGCUCCCUCAUCGGAUACACCUAUAGGCUGAGGCAGUAAGAGAACAGGCAUGACUUGCUGAACUAUGGGUUGCUGUCCUCCUUUGGCUCCCUCACUUAAGUUGUUUGGCAACAUUGAUUCCAUAGUAGAAAAAAAAAAUACUAUGGAAGUCAAUGGUGCCCCACAACUGUUUGGUUGCAA